CCGCCCCCCCCGGACGGGGCUGGUUCGCGUCCCGCCCUCGUCGCGCGGAGUCAGUGGGUAGGGGUCAGGCUUGAGGUUAUAGCUGCGGGAUAGUACUCGUGUCCCCCGACGCAGACCAUGGAGAGCGCGCUGGCGUUGCCACGGCUGCCCCCGCAUGAUCCAGGGACGCCGGUGCUGUCGGUGGUGGACAUGCACACGGGCGGCGAGCCCCUGCGUAUCGUGCUGGCGGGGUGUCCGGAGGUGUCCGGGCCCACCCUGCUGGCCAAGCGGCGCUACAUGCGCCAGCACCUUGACUACGUGAGGCGACGGCUCAUGUUCGAGCCCCGAGGGCACCGGGACAUGUACGGGGCGGUUUUAGUCCCGAGCGAGCUGCCGGACGCGCAUCUGGGCGUCCUGUUCCUGCACAACGAGGGCUACAGCUCCAUGUGCGGCCACGCAGUGCUGGCGUUGGGCCGCUUCGCUUUGGACUUCGGGCUUGUGCCGGCGACCCCUGCGGGCACCCGCGAGGCCCGCGUCAACAUCCACUGCCCGUGCGGGCUGGUGACCGCCUUCGUGGCAUGCGAGGACGGCCGCAGCCACGGACCGGUGCGCUUCCACAGCGUCCCGGCCUUCGUGCUGGCCACAGAUCUCAUGGUGGAUGUUCCUGGACAUGGAAAGGUGGUGGUGGACAUUGCAUAUGGCGGUGCAUUUUAUGCGUUUGUUACUGCUGAAAAGUUAGGACUAGACAUUUGUUCUGCAAAGACCAGGGACCUUGUGGAUGCAGCGAGUGCAGUGACAGAGGCAGUGAAAGCUCAGUUUAAAAUUAAUCAUCCUGAUAGUGAAGACCUUGCCUUUUUAUAUGGAACUAUAUUAACAGAUGGAAAAGAUGCUUAUACCAAGGAACCAACCACCAACAUUUGUGUUUUUGCAGAUGAACAGGUUGACAGAAGUCCCACUGGCUCAGGAGUGACAGCCCGAAUUGCCUUACAGUAUCACAAAGGGCUUCUGGAACUAAACCAGACCAGAGCCUUCAAAAGCAGUGCAACUGGCUCAGUAUUCACAGGGAAAGCUGUGAGGGGCAACUUCCUGGGAGCUAAGGCUACUAAAAGGUAGAAGCCACAGUACUCAUCUGCAGAGGGCUUACAGCCUCAGCAAGGACCUUGUGGCUUUGUAACAACAAUCAGCCAUAACAAGUUUACUUGUGGAGAAGAAAACGUGUAGCACUUUCAGAAGAGGCUAUCAAAGAAAAGAGAUGAACUUGGAAGCAAGAGAUACACAGCUCAGCAUGACAGAGACUCCAUUCCAGGUGGAAAAAGCACAUGGCUCUUUCUUCUCCGAGAUCCCAGGACUGUCUUAUUUUCCUCAGAGGGGCAGGUUAUAAGAACUUCACAUCUCUCAGGCUACAUGUUGCAGAGGUUAAAUUCCAGGGGUUAUUUGUCUCAACAAGUUAAGGAAAGAGCAGCCCAAGAAUACCAUCAGAGAUGCAGCUUUCCAGGCCUCCAUCCUGGACUUGCAGGUUUCAUAUUGACAUAGAUUUGCAAGAUGACUUGCACUUCCAGGUCUCUACUCUCCAUUCCAAGAAAGAGAAAAGGGAGAAUAAGGGCUUUUUCCAAAAAGUUUUGUCUUUCUAAUCAGGAAGACAUGACCUUCCCAGAGAUGUCUGAUUACAUCUUAUUGCCAGAACUAUAUCACAUGACUAUCCCCAAGUGUUAGGGAGAUUGAAAAAUUCAAAGUUUUUAGUAGAGUGCAUUUACCUCACCCUAAAUAGUGUUAUGAUGAUCACUUUUGAUGAACAGAAUGUGGCAGAAGUGAAGAUGUCUUAAAUAUUAGGACAAAAAAAGGUAUUGACUGUGGCUUUCUUGUUGCUCUUUCUCAAGUCAGUUAUUCUGGGGAAACCCAACCGCCAUAUUGUGAGGACACUCAAGCAGCCCUAUGGAGGAGCCCACAUGGUGAGGUACUGAGGCCUCUUUCCAACACCCAUAUGAGUGAGCCAUCUUGGAAGCAGCUCCAUUUGACAUCUUAAUUACAACCCCCUAAGAGACCUGUAUCAGAACUACCCAGCUAAUCUGCUCCAAGUUUCUGACUCACAGAAGCUUUGAGAGAAUAAUUGUUUUAAGCUGCUAAAUUUGGAGCUAGCUUGUUACACAACAAUAAUAACUAAUACACUUAGUAAAAAUAAGAAUGGGUUCAUGAAACAUUUCAGUUAUAUAUGAGUGUGUGCUAGGUCUCAGUAUAAAAUGAACCCCUUCUUAUAGGUUGCAGUAAAAAACAAAAUGGAAAAUUCUGCACAAAACAAACCAAGCAACGGUUUUCUACUCUGAGGUCUUGCUGCUGCCUUCCUGAGGUCUACCUGGGAAUCAAGACACAGGUCCUCUUUGCUUUCAGGUGCCCCAAACUUAUUAGUGGCUCAUGCAGCCUUUAUUGCCCCAUCAUUCUAUAGCUAGGCCAGUCACCAAGGGUAGGCAGGGAUACACAGGGUACAAGGACACUAAUCAGAGCUCUAUUUACAUCUAAAUUCUCCUUGUUUUUUUUUUUUUUUUUUUUGAGACGGAGUCUCGCUCUGUCACCAGGCCGGAGUGCAGUGGUGCAAUCUUGGCUCACUGCAAUCUCCGCCUCCAGGGUUCAGGUGAUUCCCCUGCCUCAGCCUCCCAAGUAGCUGGGACUACAGGCAUGCACCACCAGGCCCGGCUAAUUUUUUGUAUUUUAGUAGAGAUGGAGUUUCACCAUGUUGGCCAGGAUGGUGUCAAUCUCCUGACCACGUGUUCUGCCUGCCUCAGCCUCCCUAAGUGCUGGGAUUACAGGCGUGAGCCACCACGCCCGGCCUCUCCUUGUUUUUCUAAGCUCCUCUCAUCCAACCUGAAAACAUCUUUAUCUAGUCUUUAGGAUAGUCAUCCUGGCUUUUACAGCUUUGUGUGUUCUCUUGGACUUAUUGUCUUGAUUUAAAACCUUCCUAUUUAAAGCAGGGCCAAAAUUUUAACAAACCAAAGACCUCCCUGUUUUUGGCACAGCCUCCUUUAGUUCAGAAAAUCCUAAAGGUAAAGGAGGUCCUGUGCAUACAAGGAAAUACAGUGGAAAAAGCCCUCAAAUAAUAUUUGAAAAUGUUAUUCACAUAUUGUCUUUAUUUCAACUCAGAUUCCUUUCUCAUUCCAUUUUUAUCUGGCUCCUACACUCAUUGCUUCACAGAAUUAGUCACAGAAUAGGUCACAAAUGACCUAAAUCCAAUAAAUACUUCUCAGCCACCUUACUUGACCUUGCCAAACAUAAACCACGUGUAUUAGUCAGGGUUCCCACAAUAGGCUGUCUGCAGGCUGAGGAGCAAGGAGAGCCAGUCCAAGUUCCAAAAUUGAAGAACUUGGACUCCAGUGUUCAAGAGCAGGAAGCAUCCAGCACAGGAGAAAGAUGUAGGUUGGCAGGCUAAGCCAGUCUCUGUUUUCACAUGUUUCUGCCUGCUUAGAUUCUAGCAGUGCUGGCAGCUGAUGCGAUUGUGCCCACCCAGAUUAAGGGUGGGUCUGCCUUUCCCAGCCCACUGACUCAAAUGUUAAUCUCCUGUGGCAACACCCUCACAGACACACCCAGGAUCAAUACUUUGCAUCCUUCAAUCCAAUCAAGUUGACACUCAGUAUUAACCAUCACAUCAUAGUUGGCCCCACUUCCAUUUUGGAAAUGUUCUUGUCCUCGUGUUCAUGUUCUUACUCUUUCCUGGUUUUCCGCUAACCACUCUGAUCAUUCCUUCCUAACCUCUUUGACUACUUUCUCUGCUUCCCCAUCUCACAUUUUAAAAAUUAGUUUAAACAUAGGUAAUAUGUGCACAUGGUAUGAAUUUGAAAAGGUACAAAAGGGUACAGAGUGAAAAAUAAAUGUUUCCCUUUUCCUUCCUGCCCUUGACACCUAAAACCUGCCAAUCAUCAAGUCCCUUUUCCCCAAUCUGUUCCUCUUCAACCCCAAAGUCAUUACCUCUUAUCACUAAUUUCAAUGGACUUGAUGACCUAGUUCUGGGUUCUCCAUGAGAAACCCACUUUAACAUCCAUCACAAAAUAUUUUGGAGUUCCCAGUUGGUCUUCCACAUGUACUCAAGAAAAUGUCUAUUCCUAUGGUCUCUGGGUUACUCUGCCAGGCACCAUUGUUAAUCCAAGUAGCUCUGCCAAGAACAGUAGCUAUAAGGAAGAAGAGAUAGUGCUUAGCGGACAACAUUCUUCAAACAUGGCAUCUUUUCAACUUUUUUUUAGUAGGCUUUAUUUUUCAGAGCAUCUUUAGGUUCACAGCAAAAUUGAGUGAAAGUACAGAGAUUUCCCAUUUAUUCUCUGCCCCAACACAUGCAAAACCUCACCUGUUACCAAUAUCCCCCACCAGAGAGGUACAUUUGUUAUAAUCAAUAAACCUACAAUGACACAUUGCUAUCACCCAAAGUCUGUAGUUUACAUUAGGGUUCACUCACUCUUGGUGUUGUACAUUCUAUGGGUUUUGACAAAUGUUAUAACAUGUAUCUAUAAUUAUAGAAAUAUGUAGAAAAGUUUUAUUGCUCUAAAAUUCCUCUGUGCUCCAUCCAUUCAUCCCUUUCUUCUCCCAGUCUCUUGAAACCACUGCUACUGUUACGGUCUCCGUGGUUUUGCCUUUUCCAGAAUGUCACAUAGUUGGAAUCAUACCAUAGGAAGCCUUUUCCUGUGGCUUCUUUUGCUUAGUAAUAUGCAUUUUAGGUUUCUCCAUAGCUUUUUAUGGCUAAACAGCUCAUUUCCUUUUAGUGCUAAUAUUCCAUUGUCUGGAUGUACCAUAGCUUAUUUAUCUGCUUAUUUACUGAUAGCAUCUUGGUUGCUUCCAAUAUUUUGCAAUUAUUAAUAAAGCUGCUAUAAACAUC